rnacentral:rRNA from 1 species
GGGAUUGCGGNUUGGUUCCUUUAUUGGGAUCAGGCCGCGAGAACCUCUCCAAACCUUAUCAUCUAGAGGAAGGUGAAGUCGUAACAAGGUUUCCGUAGGUGAACCUGCGGAAGGAUCAUUA